rnacentral:rRNA from 1 species
UCGAGGGGCAUCAGUUUGGUUUGCUUGCAACCAAAGCUGGCGACCGGCGCACGGGUGAGUAACACGUAUCCAACCUGCCUCAUACUCGGGGAUAGCCUUUCGAAAGAAAGAUUAAUAUCCGAUAGCAUAUAUUUCCCGCAUGGGUUUUAUAUUAAAGAAAUUCGGUAUGAGAUGGGGAUGCGUUCCAUUAGUUUGUUGGCGGGGUAACGGCCCACCAAGACUACGAUGGAUAGGGGUUCUGAGAGGAAGGUCCCCCACAUUGGAACUGAGACACGGUCCAAACUCCUACGGGAGGCAGCAGUGAGGAAUAUUGGUCAAUGGACGCGAGUCUGAACCAGCCAAGUAGCGUGAAGGAUGACUGCCCUAUGGGUUGUAAACUUCUUUUAUAUGGGAAUAAAGUGGUCCACGUGUGGAUUUUUGUAUGUACCAUAUGAAUAAGGAUCGGCUAACUCCGUGCCAGCAGCCGCGGUAAUACGGAGGAUCCGAGCGUUAUCCGGAUUUAUUGGGUUUAAAGGGAGCGUAGGCGGAUUGUUAAGUCAGUUGUGAAAGUUUGCGGCUCAACCGUAAAAUUGCAGUUGAUACUGGCAGUCUUGAGUGCAGUAGAGGUGGGCGGAAUUCGUGGUGUAGCGGUGAAAUGCUUAG